AUUGAACGCUAGCGGGAUGCUUUACACAUGCAAGUCGUACGAGCGGCGGACGGGUGAGUAAUAUAUCGGAACGUGCCCAGUAGCGCCGGAUAACUACUCGAAACAGUGGCUAAUACCCCAUUCUCUUGGAGCGGCCGAUAUCGGAUUAGCUAGUUGGGGGGGUAAAGGCUCACCAAGGCAACGAUCCGUAGCUGGUUUGAGAGGACGACCAGGGAAACUGGGACUGAGACACGGCGCAGAGGGCUACGGGAGGCAGGAGUGGGGAAUAUGGGAAAAGGGGGGAAAGGCUGAUGCAGCGAUGCCGCGUGUAUGAGAAGGGGGUGGGGUGGUAAAGUAGUGAUGGCAGAGAAGCGGUAUCUGGAGAAUAAGCACCGGCUAACUACGUGCCAGCAGCCGCGGUAAUUG
rnacentral:rRNA from 1 species